GACGAACGCUGGCGGCGUGCUUAACACAUGCAAGUCGAACGGAAAGGCCCUGCUUGCAGGGUACUCGAGUGGCGAACGGGUGAGUAACACGUGGGUGAUCUGCCCUGCACUUCGGGAUAAGCCUGGGAGACUGGGUCUAAUACCGGAUAGGAGCCAUUUUUAGUGUGAUGGUUGGAAAGUUUUUUCGGUGUAGGAUGAGCUCGCGGCCUAUCAGCUUGUUGGUGGGGUAAUGGCCUACCAAGGCGGCGACGGGUAGCCGGCCUGAGAGGGUGGACGGCCACAUUGGGACUGAGAUACGGCCCAGACUCCUACGGGAGGCAGCAGGGGGGAAUAUUGCACAAGGGGCGCAAGCCUGAUGCAGGGACGCCGCGGGGGGGAUGACGGCCUUCGGGUUGUAAACUCCUUUCGCUAGGGACGAAGCUUUUUGUGACGGUACCUAGAUAAGAAGCACCGGCUAACUACGUG
rnacentral:rRNA from 1 species